UGGAAUAUCUUCCCUCAGUGGUGGUGGUUAAAAUGCAGAUUUCCAGCUGCAGGGAGUAUAACUAAGUCACGCCCUCAGCUGCUGCACUCUGAAAUGCUGUGGCCUUAAGACAAGCAUGGUCCUGGUAGACACAGGACUUCUCUAUGGGAACUCUGGCUUGAGGGCUCCCCUUUGGCCUUGUCAAACUUCCUUAGAGCUGUACCACAGUCUAAGACUUUCCCAUGUAACCUUCCUCUUCCAUCCCUCCUUCUUUCACAAGGGCCAGAACUGCACUUCUUAGGACUCAGGAUUGCACACCCUAGUGAGGACCCCAGAAAAUGGGGCAAACUCAUUGCUGGGGUAGCUGCUAGAAUUCUGGGAAAAGCCAAUGGUUGGCAACAUGGUAGUACCUGAGUUGUCCUGGCAGAUGGCAGAAGAAGGAAUAAAGGCGCUGAGAGAAAGGCCCCAACGUGACAGACAGACCACUGGCCACUGCUGAAGAAUCUAGAUACAUUUGCAUUGUGGCUCACGUCUCCCUCCACAUGAGGCUGAUGACCAGGGCGCAUUCAGGGGAAUCCAGUGGAAACAACCAGGAACUCUGCGUUGUUUAGGCUUUCAUGAUGGCCUGCUUUCUGCCACCUCCCUGGAUAUGACUUACUAUCUUGGUUUCAGAGAUUCCCCUUGGCUUUGUCCACUAUGAUGCCUCUGACUCCACAGGCCAAGGAUCCAGUAUGGAAAUCAGUCCAACUGUCAAUCAACUAUAUUGAUCCCAAUGGAAGAGAGACUCACGGGAACCAAGGAGGGAGGAGCUGCUCCACACACCCACAGGGAGAACUCGCUCUGAGCAGCACCUGGGAGCGUGGCAUUCGCGGAAAUGUGCCCCUGGGCUCUGACUGUGGGGCUCGUGCCUACUACACCUCAUGGCUCCACCACCGUGUUCAGGGCCAUGAUCUUGCAGUGUCCCCAGCCAGUGACUGAGUGUGGCAGGGACACCAAGGCUGGCCUGUUCCCAGGGGACUCUGAUUGCCUCUGAUGGGCAAUUCGGGAUUAAGAACUUCCCAUCAGCCUUGCCGAAUUCUCUUAGAACUUCUAGCUGUACACGUUUCUCCUCUGUCUCCUGCCCAAGGGCCAGACCUGCGUGGAAGUGUGGCAGCUCCCCUGUCCACAGCUGCCUCCCCGUGUUCUGUUCCUCGGAAGAUGCUCCCUGAGGAAUCGCACUCAUCUCAUCCUGUGCGGCAUCUGCUUAAAGGACCUGGCCUAACAUGCCCUGCAACAGGCUUGAUGAGUAGGAUAACCUCUGCUUUCAUUGCAUUGUCUAGAGGGUUAUGGAAACAAAUGAAGACCAACCAAAUGAAAAAAGCAAAGGCUAUUUCUUCAGAGCUUUCUAAGGUCUUUAGAUGAUAACUCAACCAACUGCCAAUCAGAAAAUUUUUGAAUCUGUGUGUGACCCGAAAGCCCCCAGUUCCAGUUGUCCCUCCUUUCUGGAUUGAAUUGAUUGAUGUUUUAAGUCUCCCUAAAACCAAGUUGUAGGCUGACCACCUCGGGCCCAUGUCAUCAGGACCUCCUGAGGCUGUGUCACAGGCGUGUCCUUAACUUUGGUAAAAUAAACUCCUAAAUUACUUGAGACUUGUUUCAGAUACUCUUUGGUUUAUAGUCUCCACCCAAAUCUCAGGUUGAACUGUAAUCCCCAGUGUUGGAGGUGGGGCCCAGUGGGAGGUGACUGGAUCGUGGGGGCAAAUUUCUCAUGGAUGGUAUAGCAUCCUCCCCUUUGGGCUGUCCUCACAAGAGUGAGUGAGUUCUUAGGAGAUCUGGUUAUUUAAAAGUGUGUGUGGCCCCUCCCUCAUUGCCCUCUUGCUCCUGC